GUGCCAGCAGCCGCGGUAAGACGAACCGUGCGAACGUUGUUCGGAAUCACUGGGCUUAAAGGGCGCGUAGGCGGCUGCGCAAGUCCGGGGUGAAAGCCCCCAGCUCAACUGGGGAAGUGCCUUGGAUACUGUGCAGCUCGAGCGAGGCAGGGGUAGUGGGAACUUCCGGUGGAGCGGUGAAAUGCGUUGAUAUCGGAAGGAACGCCGGUGGCGAAAGCGCACUACUGGUCCUCUUCUGACGCUGAGGCGCGAAAGCCAGGGGAGCAAACGGGAUUAGAUACCCCGGUAGUCC
rnacentral:rRNA from 1 species